GAAAGACUUGGAGUAGAAACGAAAACUGCAAAGGAACAUGAGAACAGAGAGACCAGCUGAACAAGGAGACCUUCUCCAAAGGGAGAAAAAGCAAAAGGCGGGAACCUGAGGUGCUCACCUUGGUGGGAGACACUGGCAGCCAUCACAUGUGUAACGCAGCACCAUGCAGCUGAGGUGCUGAGAACUCUCAGGUUUCUCUAAAAGUGAAGGGAGUUGAGGUGACUUGUCACCCCUGAGAAGAUGCUCAGAACGUUGCAGAAUUGGGCUCUUUCACCUACUCAAAAUUCUGAAAUCUUCCCAAGAACAGAUUGCCUGGUAUCACAGAGCUCCAGGCAACUGCCAAGGCCUCUUUCCAAAACUAGGCUAAACCAACUGAUGACUAAGAAUGGGCUAACCCAGAGCUAGUCUGCACAAAAUGACUAGAAUUUGAACUUGUCUGGGUAAAAUUUUGGAUGAAAAUCACCUUCUGCGUGACU